rnacentral:rRNA from 1 species
GCAUGCAAGUCGAACGGUAACCAUCCUUCGGGAUGGCUAGAGUGGCGAACGGGUGAGUAACACGUAGGUGAUCUGCCCUUGAGUUGGGGAUAGCCCAUGGAAACAUGGGGUAAUACCGAAUACGCUCGCGACCCUGUGGGGAUGUGAGGAAAAGCGCUUCGGCGCUGCUCGAGGAUGAGCCUGCGGCUGAUUAGUUAGUUGGUGGGGUAACGGCCUACCAAGGCGACGAUCAGUAGCCGGCCUGAGAGGGUGAGCGGCCACACUGGGACUGAGAUACGGCCCAGACUCCUACGGGAGGCAGCAGCUAAGAAUCUUCUACAAUGGACGAAGGUCUGAUAGAGCGACGCCGCGUGGGUGAUGAAGGCCGGAAGGUUGUAAAGCCCUUUUCUAUUCGAGGAAUAAGGUGUGGAGGCAAUGCCACACUGAUGACGGUAGGGUAGGAAUAAGCCCCGGCCAAUUACGUGCCAGCAGCCGCGGUAACACGUAUGGGGCGAGCGUUGUUCGGAAUCAUUGGGCGUAAAGGGCGCGUAGGCGGAUAUGCAAGCUUGGUGUGAAAGACCGCAGCUCAACUGCGGGAGCGCGCUGAGAACUGCAUAUCUUGAGUUCAAGAGGGGAAGCUGGAAUUCCAGGUGUAGGGGUGACAUCUGUAGAUAUCUGGAAGAACAUCAGUGGCGAAGGCGAGCUUCUGGCUUUGAACUGACGCUGAGGCGCGAAAGCGUGGGGAGCGAACAGGAUUAGAUACCCU